rnacentral:rRNA from 1 species
CGCGUAGGCGGACAGUAUAGUCAGGCGUGAAAUUCCUGGGCUCAACCUGGGGGCUGCGCUUGAUACGUGCUGUCUUGAGUGGGGAAGAGGGUCGUGGAAUUCCCAGUGUAGAGGUGAAAUUCGUAGAUAUUGGGAAGAACACCGGUGGCGAAGGCGGCGACCUGGUCCUUGGCUGACGCUGAGGCGCGAAAGCGUGGGGAGCAACAGGAUUAGAUACCCUGGUAGUCCACGCCGUAAACGAUGUGCGCUGGAUGUUGGGCGGCCUAGCCGUUCAGUGUCGUAGCUAACGCGAUAAGCGCACCGCCUGGGGAGUACGGCCGCAAGGUUGAA